GGAGGUUUGGCAGAGUUGGUCGAUUGCACCGGUCUUGAAAACCGGCGUGCCGCAAGGUACCGGGGGUUCGAAUCCCUCAGCCUCCGCAA
rnacentral:tRNA from 2 species